UGGCUCAGUUGGUAGAGCAUGGUGUUUGCAACGCCAGCAAGGUGUGUGCAACGCCAGGGUUGUGGGUUCGAUUCCCAC
rfam:Salmo salar isolate Sally breed double haploid chromosome ssa16, whole genome shotgun sequence.